rnacentral:rRNA from 1 species
AUGGAGUAUCAGCCCAUCAUCUCCGCCUUGGACGCACGUACUCAUCCAGUCACCGUCGAGAACCUCUUCGCCAUGGUAGCCAAUUUCGACCAGCGCGUCGAGAUGUUCCAUGGGACAAGCGCUGGCAACUUCAAGUCCUCCGCCAACAUUGCUUCUCGUGGCCGCCAGGGACCCAACAAAGGCUCCCGUGGUCAGCAGAAG